GACCAUCAAGACUUGCCAACAGCGGCAGGGAGCUCCUUUGCUUUGGGCUAUGGAGGUUGGAAAAUGCCUUGUUUCCUUGGGGAUGAGAUUGCCUAGCCCUGAGUUGGGGCAUGUGCUUGUCCCUUAUCUCUGCUUCGACAAUAACCACCCUUCCCUCUGGAAGUUCCUCCAACAAGCUCUCUCCUCUCGCCUCCUCUAUCCCAUCCAUAUCCUGUCCCUCCUCUCCGCCAG
rnacentral:misc_RNA from 1 species